AACCUCCCACCCGUGUCUAUUG
rnacentral:rRNA from 1 species